rnacentral:lncRNA from 1 species
ACUGGCUGCUUAUGGGGCAAAUCCUGCUACCUGAUGAGCAAUAAUAUUUCACGUAGAGUACUGGUGCUAGCUGCAGGUGACCCGACAUGCAUGCUAGUGUAGUGAUUAAUCUUAGUCCAGAAAAUUCGAGAACAAAUGUCAUAAUAUCCUCACGAGAGACACUAAAAAAAUAAUAUUAAUAAUUCUCACAAAAUCAGAAAGAUAUAGCAAUAAAUAUGAACUCUAAUAAUCAUUAUUAAUAAUAAUAUCCAUUAGGAUCCAGAUCUAUAUGGAUUGUUGUUGUGUGUUUAAUAGUUGCUCAGGGUUAGUCUUCUGAGCUAUCGUGUUUUGGGGGCGCCGGUUUUCCUCCAAUAAACCGUUUGGGCAUGAGGUUUGAGGGCCUAAUUUUCCUUAUUAAAUAAAGUAGAUCAAUUCUAUUCUUCAUAAGUGAAUAGCAGGAGUUCACUGCCCUAUUCAAAAAUAAAAUAGUCACCAGAUCUUUUCUACUUUGUAGUAAUUAAUCAUUACUCAUAUCAACCAUUAUGAAAACAACAUAUAUAAAAUAACUUGAAUAUGUAUCUAAAUUAUCCACCUAUGCCAUUAUAAAACAUAAUCUAAAGUAAUCCCUAAAUCAGCAUAUAAUUCUUCCCAUACCAUUAUGAUAGAUAAUCUAAGUAACCCUGUAAAUUUAUAUCUUAAUGAACACUUCUCACAUUAUUAAAAAAAAGUAAAAUAUUGCCUCCAAAUCUUCAUCUAAACUACCAACAUCUGAUUAUUACAAAAAUGUUUAAGUAAACAUAUUUUAAUCAUAUAUACAUAUAUCCUUAUUAUUAAUAUUAGUAAUUAACUAACUAACUAAACUAUGUAGAUCUAGGAUAUCCUACCAAAACAUCAACGAUCAUGAAAAAUAUCUACUUAACAACUCAUAUACAAAUAAUACUAGCAAAAUAUUUAAAAUUAUGUUAAUGUACAACAUUCUCGCAAAAAAGAUAAUUAUUUAAAUUAUUACUUAGAUAAAUUUACAUUUAAAUGGAAACAUCUAUUGAUAGUAUAAUUGUAAGCAUUCUAUUUUUUAUAAGCAGUAACAUUAAUAUUUAAUAAGAAAAUCGACAUCUUGAAAUGUGGGAGAGGUUAGUGCAUACGAAAGGCGGCCAUGACCUUGUUUGGAAUAAUAGUGAUUAUAAUGCUUCAAUAUAUCAUAUCAUGUUGAUUACAAUCAAAACAAUGCUUAGAGUGUAUGCUUAUUAUUGUGUUUCCAUUCAUGGUUAUUAUAUUCUCUUUGUUGACACAGUACCACUUGCAGAGUCGUAACGAUCGUUUUUUAGGAAACAGGAGAGCCCCCCGGGGACCUCUACUAAAAUUUUAUUUAUACAAAGAGUAACCAAGUAUAUUACAACACAGGAAAAAAAGAGAAAAUCUAAAACUGCUUCCAGAACCUGAGGGAAACAGGUUCAAGAAACAAAGAAAAAUAAAAAGAAAAUCAAGACGAUUACAUAGCGUGCUCUAACCAUAAUUCAAUAUCCAGGAAGUACUUCUUCAUGGCUCUCUAAAAGAAGUUGCCUAAAGAUUAACUUGAAAAAGUCAAACCCACGCAAACAACAACCGGGUAUACCUCUAAAGAAUUGGCGUCAUUUCUUAUGGUCCAGAUGCACCAACACAUGAUGAUUAUGAUUUCCAUGAAAAAAGAAGUUUUGAUCUGAAUCUUGAAGCUUUUGAAUAUGUGCAAGAUGACUGAAGAACUGAUUACCGUGAGACCCAUGAGACCCCAGCAGGAUCUAGCCAUGUCACAUUCUAGGAAAAGAUGUUGAACCGUCUCUUCUGUGUUUAGGCCGCAUAGAACACAGUUAUAUGAGGGUAGAUGCAUGUUUUUGCGCUUAAGAAUAUUUCUAGUGCUUAAUCUAUCCUGGACUAGCAACUAGAAAAAAACCUUGUGCUUGGGUUGACAAGAAGAUUUCCAGAUCCAUCUGAUCAGCCUCAAUGUUACAUAUGAGGUGGCGAUAGGCUUUUUUUGAAGUAAAGAUAGAGCUGCCCCAGAUAUAGUACCAAUUGUCAUGUUCCUCAGUCCGAGGAGAGGAUGAGAUUAAGUUGUUCAAAUUGGUUGAAGGCUUCAACAGAAAGUAGGAGGUUGAACAAAGUUGAGGUAGAGUUAGCCAGCGAUGCCAUCUUGAGAGAGAUACUGGGCUUCCAAUCAAUCCUACAUCAAGACAUGGAGCAACUCGGGUCUAGUACUCUUCGUCCCAAAAAGGAAAAUGUUAUGAGAUGUG